rnacentral:misc_RNA from 1 species
GAUGAAGAACGUAGUGAAAUGCGAUACGUAAUGUGAAUUGCAGAAUUCAGUGAAUCAUCGAAUCUUUGAACGCAUAUUGCGCUCUCUGGUAUUCCGGAGAGCAUGCUUGUUUGAGUAUCAGUAAACACCUCAACUUCCAUAUCUUUUUUGAAAUGGGAGUUGGACUUGAGUGAUCCCAACGCUUUUCCUCACCGAAAAGUGGCGGGUUACUUGAAAUGCAGGUGCAGCUGGACUUUUCUCUGAGCUAUAAGCAUAUCUAUUUAGUCUGCCUAAAAAACAGAUUAUUACCUUUGCUGCAGCUAACAUAAAGGAGAUUAGUUCUUGUGCUGACUGAUGCAGGAUUCACAAAGACAGGCUUCGGCCGACUUUGUAAACUCGAUCUCAAAUCAAGUAAGACUACCCGCUGAACUUAAGCAUAUCAAUAAGCGGAGGGA